CAAUCGUAUAUAUAAAUGCUCACUAACUCCGCCCUUCCGGGAGCAGCUCGACACCAUCAGACGUACUUUCCGAUACGCCAUUUUCCAUCGAGGAGGACAGAGAAAGAAGCCAAGCUGAAGGAACGCGGAGCGUCAGGUCCACUUAACGUCGACAAAAUUGAUCCAGCCAUGCAUCGGGACUGUCCUCUGGACUGCAAAGUCUAUGUCGGAAACCUGGGGAACAAUGGCAACAAAACAGAGUUGGAGAGGUCAUUUGGCUACUAUGGCCCUCUCCGCAGUGUGUGGGUGGCCAGGAACCCCCCAGGCUUCGCUUUUGUAGAGUUUGAAGACCCAAGAGAUGCAAAUGAUGCUGUGCGUGAACUUGAUGGAAGGACAUUGUGCGGUUGCCGUGUACGAGUAGAGUUGUCAAAUGGUGAAAAACGUAGUCGCUCUCGUGGUGCUCCCCCUUCGUGGAGCAGGCGUCCUCGGGACAGAGAUGACUACAGGCGGCGUAGCAGCCCACCAGCCAGGCGGAGAGCCACCACCAUGCCUCUUCUCACCACCCUCUGAGUCAAUCUACUAGUCCUCUUUCAGCAUCAUGUGACUGCUGACCAUCGUGCCCCAAUCAGCAUGGCUGGUGCUCUCACAUGACCCGGGCAUGGCCAGUCGUCAGGUUGCACCAGCCCAUUGGUUCCUCAGCAUGCCGUUCUCAACCUCCUCCUCCUUCAACCUUAACCCAAACGGCAGCGGCCCACCUCACAUUCCCGACCAAUCAGCGUAUUACGUUUCCAAAUGUCUACAACCUACCAGCAGCAGCCUUCGGCUAACCAAUUAAAGCAGGAAAAAAGCUACAGCCAGCCCCCAUCUGCCUGCCACCUAAUCACCUUGCAGCAUCUGGCCAGUCCUAUUCAGCCAAUUCUACCUACCCAGCCGACAGUCUGCCUCCCUUUCGUCAUAUGUAGCUUGUUGAAAACCAAAAAUACUAGUAAGUUUUCCUGCUUCAUUCAGUACACUGCUGAUUACAGUUUUGAAAGUGAAGAGACAGCUGGUUUGAAAAGGUUGUUUUUUUUCUAUCAUUUAAACACAAGUUUGUUUUGGCCUCAAACGUUAAUAUAACUCAUUAUUUCAAAGAGAAAUGGCAAAUCUAAUGCCAAAUAACACUUAUAGUUAAACAUGUGGUAUGUUUUGGGGGCUCUGAGAAGAAUUAAGAAGUCCCACGACUCGAUAGUCUCCUUAAACCCCCACAGUGACAUAGUGUCGUGUGGAGGGUUUAGCAGAUCAUAUUGGACUUAAACACUAGCAUUCAUUUUCUUACAGUUUCCCUUGAAGUAUAGUGUACCAGUUUCGUACAGACGGAGCCCCGUGUGUAUUUUAAAUUUUACACAAGGGCCUGUCCAUAGCGAAGUUUCAAAUCCUCUGAGAACAAACCUUGGUUAGCUUGCUUUAACGCUCAGGCAAAUCUUUUAGGGGGCGCCCCAGUGUGGUACUUCAUAUCAACAUGAAUAACUCGCACUGAUAAAAUCAUGAAAUUAUUAAGAUGCAGGUGAUACUAUGGCAUAGGUGGGGGGAGGGGGGGUCCAUUCCUAAGCACCUGCCGUCUGCAGGUAAUAGGUCCAUUGCCACAGACUUACAUUUGAGUAAGUUGUUUUUUGUGGACAAAUGCCGAGGUUCUUACCGAGAUAGAAAUAAAGCUGUGUUGAUGGAGACCCAUGUAAGAAAAGGAUUAAACUAGCGUGGAGCUAUACGCUGUAUUGAGUGCUGACUGUUAACGCUGGUGUAUUUUUCCUGCGCAGAUCCCCACGCAGGAGGAGUUUUAGCCGCAGUCGUAGCAGGUCUUUCUCCAGAGACAGGAGGAGGGAGAGGUCCCUCUCCCGGGACAGGAACCACAAACCUUCAAGAUCGUUCUCCCGAUCAAGGAGUCGCUCCAGGUCCAAUGACAGAAAAUGAAGGACCGUGUGAAGGUGUAAAAGGAGCUCGAGAUGAACGGUUGACCAGACUUUGCCGUUUAGUGACAAACUUCAACUUUGGUCAUUUUUUUUGUGUUGGGUUUUUUAAACAAUUAAGCAUUUUAGUGUCCCUGCCCUUUUUGCUGUUGUAAUUUUCAAAUCUUUUUAGAGGGUGUGUACAGGAGUGCGCUUCACAGAAGUCAUGUCUGUCCCUCGGUCCUGAAAAAGUUGUACCACCGAGCAUUCCAGUUCAUCGUUAAAUCUCUUGAGACCUUUGGGUUUGUUUAUUUUCUUUUUGGUUGAAUGUACUGUGUAGUUUGGCGUAGUGUGAAUUAGUUCAUUUUCAUUGUGUAAACACCAGCAUUUUUUUAAGUGGGACUGGGAUAGAAAUGUAUUUAGAGCCGUCUGUCUGUAAAGCACGUUUUCAAACAUGCUACCUGAUUCAUACUGAAGGUUUCCAUCUGUUAACGAUGCAAAACUAUUGGCUUUUCUUAAAAGGUGUAAUAACACAACUCAAAUUAUUUUUUUUCUGACUUUUUUUCAUUUUUUUCCAUUGUUUCAUACUCUGAAACAGUCUCUCAAUAAAAAACAAUGCUUGUUCUACA